rnacentral:rRNA from 1 species
UCAAGCGAACAAGGGCGCAGGGCGAAUGCCUUGGCACUGGGAGCCGAUGAAAGACGUGAUAAGCUGCGAUAAGCUUCGGGGAGCUGCAAAUAAGCAUUGAUCCGGAGAUUUCUGAAUGAGGAAACUCACCUGGGUUCAUACUCAGGUACGUUAUACUGAACUUAAAAAUAGGUAUAUCGAGGGAACCGCCUGAACUGAAACAUCUAAGUAGGGCGAGGAAGAGACAUCAAACGAGAUUCCGUAAGUAGUGGCGAGCGAACGCGGAAGAGGGCAAACCGGGAGUAGAAAUACUUCCGGGGUACGGACUGCUUUUAGGACUUAAUCUGUUAACCGAACGGCAUGGGAAGGCCGGUCAGAGAGUGUGAGAACCACGUAGGUGAAAACGGAGAGAGCUGCGCAGGAUCCAGAGUACGGCCAGACACGUGAAACCUGGUCGGAAUACGGGGGGACCACCCUCCAACCCUAAAUACUACCCAGUGACCGAUAGCGUAUAGUACUGUGAAGGAAAGGUGAAAAGCACCCCGGGAGGGGAGUGAAAAAGAACCUGAAACCCUGUGCCUACAAGCACCUAGAGCACGUCAAUGUGUGAUAGGGUACUUUUUGUAGAACGGUCCGGCGAGCGAUUGUAUGCAGCAAGGUUAAGGACUUAAGGUCUGGAGCCGAAGCGAAAGCGAGUUUGAAAAGGGCGUUAAGUUGCAUACAAUGGGCCCGAAACCGGGUGACCUACCCAUGGUCAGGUUGAAGUGGAAGUAAAAUUCCAUGGAGGACCGAACCGACCUCCGUUGAAAAGGCGGCGGAUGAACUGUGGGUAGCGGAGAAAUUCCAAUCGAACCCGGAGAUAGCUGGUUCUCCCCGAAAUAGUUUUAGGACUAGCCUCAAGUUAGAUACCUGGAGGUAAAGCACUGAAUAGCCUAGCGGCCGAGAGGUUAGCGAAGCUUAUCAAACUCAGAAUGCCAGAGUAUUGAUGCUUGGGAGUCAGACAGUGUCAGAUAAAUGUCAUUGUCAAAAGGGAAACAGCCCAGAUCUACAGCUAAGGUCCCAAAGUCAGGUUAAGUGGAAAACGAUGUGAAGAUACGUAGACAACCAGGAUGUUGGCUCAGAAGCAGCCACACAUUCAAAGAGUGCGUAAUAGCUCACUGGUCGAGCGUCUUUGCGCGGAGAAUUUAACGGGGCUAAACCUGACACCGAAGCUUAGGCAAUACAGCAAUGUAUUGGGUAGGGGAGCGUUGUAUACGCGGUGAAACAGUAGCGCAAGCGGCUGUGGAGUGUAUAGAAGUGAGAAUGCCGGAAUGAGUAGCGCGAAUGCAGUGAGAAUCUGCAUGGCCGAAAGCCUCAGGUUUCUGGAGGAAGGUUCGUCCGCUCCAGGUUAGUCGGGAGCUAAGGUGAGGCCUAACGGCGUAGCCGAUGCACAGACGGUAGAGAUUCCGUCACCACCAAAAGAGUUAAACACAGGGACACAUUUGAAGUCUCGGAGCCGGGUGUUGGUUCCGGUAGCGAUCGAGGGAAGUUAGUACCGAAGUCCGGGAUGGAAGAUGGCGAGAAAAGCUGUGUGUAUUUCUGCGGUGCCCGUACCGCAAACCGACACAGGUAGGUAGGAAGAAGAUUCUAAGGCCAACGGGAGAAGGGUUGUUAAGGAACUCGGCAAAUUGACCCCGUAACUUCGGGAGAAGGGGUGCUCCAGAGAUGGAGCCGCAGAGAAUCGGCCCAAGCAACUGUUUACCAAAAACACAGGUUUGUGCUAAAUCGAAAGAUGACGUAUACGAGCUGACGCCUGCCCGGUGCUGGAAGGUUAAGAGGAGAUGUGCAAGCAUUGAAUCGAAGCCCCAGUGAACGGCGGCCGUAACUAUAACGGUCCUAAGGUAGCGAAAUUCCUUGUCAGGUAAG